rnacentral:rRNA from 1 species
GACAGAGGGCGCGAGCGUUGUUCGGAAUUACUGGGCGUAAAGCGCGCGCAGGCGGACCUGUGCGUCCGGAGUGAAAUCUCGCCGCUCAACGGCGAGGCUGCUUUGGAAACGGCAGGUCUGGGGACCGGUAGAGGCUGGUAGAAUUGCAGGUGUAGCGGUGGAAUGCGUAGAGAUCUGCAAGAAUACCCGUGGCGAAGGCGGCCAGCUGGGCCGGAUCCGACGCUGAGGCGCGAAAGCGUGGGGAGCAAACAGGAUUAGAUACCCUGGUAGUCCACGCCGUAAACGAUGGGCACUAGGUGCCGGGGGGAGCGACCCCGUCGGUGCCGCAGCUAACGCGUUAAGUGCCCCGCCUGGGGAGUACGGCCGCAAGGCUGAA